rnacentral:rRNA from 1 species
AACGAACGCUGGCGGCAGGCCUAACACAUGCAAGUCGAGCGAGGACUUCGGUUCUAGCGGCGGACGGGUGAGUAACGCGUGGGAAUGUGCCCUUCUCUACGGAAUAGCCCUGGGAAACUGGGAGUAAUACCGUAUACGCCCUAUUGGGGAAAGAUUUAUCGGAGAAGGAUCAGCCCGCGUUGGAUUAGGUAGUUGGUGGGGUAAUGGCCUACCAAGCCGACGAUCCAUAGCUGGUUUGAGAGGAUGAUCAGUCACACUGGGACUGAGACACGGCCCAGACUCCUACGGGAGGCAGCAGUGGGGAAUCUUAGACAAUGGGGGCAACCCUGAUCUAGCCAUGCCGCGUGAGUGAUGAAGGCCUUAGGGUUGUAAAGCUCUUUCAGCUGGGAAGAUAAUGACGGUACCAGCAGAAGAAGCCCCGGCUAACUCCGU